CGGCGGACGGGUGAGUAACGCGUGGGUAGCCUGCCUCAUACAGGGGGAUAACAGUUAGAAAUGACUGCUAAUACCGCAUAAGACCACAGCACCGCAUGGUGCGGGGUAAAAACUCCGGUGGUAUGAGAUGGACCCGCGUCUGAUUAGCUAGUUGGUAAGGUAACGGCUUACCAAGGCGACGAUCAGUAGCCGACCUGAGAGGGUGACCGGCCACAUUGGGACUGAGACACGGCCCAA
rnacentral:rRNA from 1 species